GAUGAACGCUGACAGAAUGCUUAACACAUGCAAGUCUACUUGAUUCCACUUCGGUAGUUGAUGGUGGCGGACGGGUGAGUAACGCGUAAAGAAUCUGCCCUUUAGUUUGGGAUAACCUUUGGAAACGAAGGCUAAUACCGAAUAUUAUGGAGAUGUCGCAUGACGACUUCAUGAAAGCUAUAUGCGCUAGAGGAGGACUUUGCGUCCCAUUAGUUAGUUGGUGAGGUAAUGGCUCACCAAGACCGCGAUGGGUAGUCGGCCUGAGAGGGUGAUCGGCCACAAGGGAACUGAGACACGGUCCUUACUCCUACGGGAGGCAGCAGUGGGGAAUAUUGGACAAUGGACCACAAGUCUGAUCCAGCAAUUCUGUGUGCACGAUGAAGGUCUUCGGAUUGUAGAGUGCUUUCAGUAGGGAAGAAAAAAAUGACGGUACCUACAGAAGAAGCGACGGCUAAAUAUGUGCCAGCCGCCGCAGUAACAC
rnacentral:rRNA from 1 species